rnacentral:rRNA from 1 species
CCUACGGGGAGCAGCAGUGAGGAAUAUUGGUCAAUGGACGAGAGUCUGAACCAGCCAAGUAGCGUGAAGGAUGACUGCCCUAUGGGUUGUAAACUUCUUUUAUAUGGGAAUAAAAUGUUCCAAGUGUGGGAUUUUGUAUGUACCAUAUGAAUAAGGAUCGGCUAACUCCGUGCCAGCAGCCGCGGUAAUACGGAGGAUCCGAGCGUUAUCCGGAUUUAUUGGGUUUAAAGGGAGCGUAGGUGGAUUGUUAAGUCAGUUGUGAAAGUUUGCGGCUCAACCGUAAAAUUGCAGUUGAAACUGGCAGUCUUGAGUACAGUAGAGGUGGGCGGAAUUCGUGGUGUAGCGGUGAAAUGCUUAGAUAUCACGAAGAACUCCGAUUGCGAAGGCAGUUCACUGGACUGCAACUGACACUGAGGCUCGAAAGUGUGGGUAUCAAACAGGAUUAGAUACCCCGGUAGUC